AAAUCCAGUUCCCUCAAGGACUCUGCUCUUCAAAGGAACACCGAUGAUUUUAGAAGAGAAGGAAGUUCCCUCUGAGAAAAUGUGAGAUGGUAUUGACAGCUACUAUGCAUUGAUAGAAAUUAUAUCUUCUAUGAAUGAUAGAAACUACAACCAACGCAUGACGAAAAUGGUUUUUACCUUCACUGCAGAGGAUGCCAGACCUUCCAUAUGGACACAAGCAAACAGCAUCUCGAUUGGACUUUGGAAAACACGUAGCACCAUUUCCACAUGGAUUUUCAUCACAAGUCACAAACUGGCAAAGUUUUCCUGUGUAGAGUUUAGGGCAUUCACAGUACCAAUUUUCUGCAUCACUGAAAAGUUUAAAUUAAAAACAAAAAAAUAUGUAUAAGUACCAAAAUGCACUUAAAACAAACAGAACAGGUUUUAUACUCAUUGAAAAUCGGUGGCAUUUGACUUAUAGUUGUAAUAGAUCUCUUUGUUUUUAGUAGUGCACCUGGCAUUAGGCAUGCCAGAAUCUUUAUUGGCGACUUGACAGGUUCUUUAGUGUUUAAUUUUAUAUUUUAAUUUAUCUUUCCUUUCAUGGUGAGAUAUGUGACUUUUCUAAUAUCUCAGUAGUUGAUUGUGCUCCAUCUUUCAUAGAACAGUCAAAACAACUGCUACAGAAAAACAGGUCUUCUAUUAUGUCUGAAAAAAUGAAAUCGUGAAAACAAAAAAAAUGAAAGUUACUACUUUACUUUGCAAAUGGAAACAUCAUGUAUUACAUGUAGCUUGUGGCAGCACAGUAGGAUGUAAAAAAAGCCCUGAAUUAUGCUUACAGUAGUGACUAUAUUGAAACUGAAACAGAAUAAACAGGUAAUAUCUCUGCUAUCAUAUAACUUAUGUUUUCAGUCAUAAAAACAAUAUUAGAAUAGGCAACAGAAUAAUAUAAGUUCUAAUCAGUCUUGAGGGGUGACAAACCAAAAGGCUUAGAAAUAUGCAUAUUCUGUUUGUACAAAUGAUUUUUUUUACAGUAUUCAAAGAUAACACAAUGACAGAUAUGGUAGGAAAACCAAAAUCAGAUAGGAAAAACAGAAGUGUAAGACAUUCUCAUCUGUCAUUUAUUAUAAAUAUAAUUUCAUUAAAGGUCUUAUUUGGUCUUCUCCUUUUUUUUUAUGGCCAAAAUUAUAUAAUAGCUAGAUAGGUCAGUUCAUGUGAUUGCUAUAUAUUGUCAGUAUUGAACAGAAAGAUGUCUGCUUUAUACUUGAUAAGGUCACAUGUGCCUGUGGGUAUGAAUGCAGAAGACAUAAAGUGUGUUGUAUCAAAUCACAGUCGCUGUGGUUUUCCGAUAAUAGCACAAUCAUUAGGAUGAGCACUAAUGAAAUAUCAAAUAUAUGUGAUUCAAAAGCUCUAUUAUCUGCUUAUAAUAUCCAUGCAAUCAGAUUAAAGGAAAUAAUCUGAA